rnacentral:lncRNA from 1 species
CUUUAGAUCAUGCCAAAAGAAAGAGGGAAGUGCCUUAACAUACCUUAACCAUGGUGAGUACUUAAUACAUCUUAAGCAACUCUUCAAACAACUCGACUCAAUCUACCAUUGCAUAAGGAGAUUCAAAAUUAGUGUUGAAUAAAGGCUAAGUUUGCAACUUAAACUUAUAGCUCAUUUAUAUAAAUUCGGGUAGCAUCUCCCCAGUAACAAGAGCCUCCUCAAUACCAUAUACCAACAACAAUUACCAGAGAAAUCCAUCAAUACCAAUUAUCAAUAACAAGACACCAUAAAACUACAACAAGUCAUAACUAUUUUACGACGAGCGACAAGCUCCAAUUGGAAUUCGUAUAUCCCUUAUCAUCCCUUAUAGACUUUUUACUUUAAAUUAAUAGUAUCAUUAACAUGAUAAUUAAGUCAUUCAUCAAUAAUUCCAACCUUAUACCAUAUAUCCAUAACAAAGAAAAUGAUCCACAACUCCAAUUAUUCUUAAUUAGCAACUUUAUUAACUAGUUCAUGUCUAGUUCAUCCAUUUAACUCAACCGAUGUCAAUAUAACCUUAAGCACUUGUUGGAACACAAUAUAAUUACCUCCUACAGUAGAUGCAAGUCGAAAUCUAUAUUAUAUUUAGCUUACAACAGCCCAACACACCCCAAUCAAUUCAUACCAAAAACAACGACUAUAGUAGUGUCCAACACCCCGAAAAUAUUACAAAGAAUGACUAAUCCAUUAUUUCACAAAUAUGUGGUAUUUCUUCAAACUAUUUAUCCUCCAAAAACUCCAUUAAAUAUCAGCAAAAGAUACAGCCCAAAAGCUACACGAAAUAGCCCACAAAACAGUCCAUUACAAAUCAAAUAACUCGAACUCACGGCUUCCGAUCACCUUCCCGUGAGUUCUAAAUAUUAUGAAAUGAAUUAAUCAACCUUACUUUAUAUUUAAGAGCUUAAAACCAGAAAUUAAGAAUUUUCUUAACUAUUAAAUACCUUCCAACACUCAAACUAUAAAGAAAAGAAAGGUUAUAUAGCAAUACUUACGUCGUGGGGAUCGUUCUUGUGUUAUUGCUUCGUGAUUUCGUGCCCGGGAUGAUGGUAUUAUUUGAAACCCUUGUAGAGAGCUUAAGGGUGAUGUUAGGGGUAUUAUUUGGUCGUGCUCUCUGGAAAUAUGCAGAAAGAGACGAGAUAAAGGAGAUAAUCUCCAUUUUU